rnacentral:rRNA from 1 species
GGGUGCUUGCACCUGGUGGCGAGUGGCGAACGGGUGAGUAAUACAUCGGAACAUGUCCUGUAGUGGGGGAUAGCCCGGCGAAAGCCGGAUUAAUACCGCAUACGAUCUAUGGAUGAAAGCGGGGGACCUUCGGGCCUCGCGCUAUAGGGUUGGCCGAUGGCUGAUUAGCUAGUUGGUGGGGUAAAGGCCUACCAAGGCGACGAUCAGUAGCUGGUCUGAGAGGACGACCAGCCACACUGGGACUGAGACACGGCCCAGACUCCUACGGGAGGCAGCAGUGGGGAAUUUUGGACAAUGGGCGAAAGCCUGAUCCAGCAAUGCCGCGUGUGUGAAGAAGGCCUUCGGGUUGUAAAGCACUUUUGUCCGGAAAGAAAUCCUUGGUUCUAAUAUAGCCGGGGGAUGACGGUACCGGAAGAAUAAGCACCGGCUAACUACGUGCCAGCAGCCGCGGUAAUACGUAGGGUGCGAGCGUUAAUCGGAAUUACUGGGCGUAAAGCGUGCGCAGGCGGUUUGCUAAGACCGAUGUGAAAUCCCCGGGCUCAACCUGGGAACUGCAUUGGUGACUGGCAGGCUAGAGUAUGGCAGAGGGGGGUAGAAUUCCACGUGUAGCAGUGAAAUGCGUAGAGAUGUGGAGGAAUACCGAUGGCGAAGGCAGCCCCCUGGGCCAAUACUGACGCUCAUGCACG